rnacentral:rRNA from 1 species
GCGGCCUACGGGGCGCAGCAGGGAAUCUUCCACAAUGGGCGAAAGCCUGAUGGAGCAACGCCGCGUGGGUGAAGAAGGUCUUCGGAUCGUAAAACCCUGUUGUUAGAGAAGAAAGUGCGUGAGAGUAACUGUUCACGUUUCGACGGUAUCUAACCAGAAAGCCACGGCUAGCUACGUGCCAGCAGCCGCGGUAAUACGUAGGUGGCAAGCGUUAUCCGGAUUUAUUGGGCGUAAAGGGUACGCAGGCGGUCUUUUAAGUCU